rnacentral:sRNA from 1 species
AUUGGCUUGGCUGGACCUGAAUGAUGCGGCUGUGAUUGCUGAAUUGUCUGGGCAGGUUUGGAGUCUCUGGCGAGCUCCACUGACUGUGCAUCCCUCUGGAGACGAAGAGGAGGGGGAGGCCUGUCCUCUCUGGGAUCCAGUGGUCACAUCCCCCUGAGGAGUCCCGAAUGCCUACCUCCAGUGUCGUCAACAUGGAGUUCUGAAGUCCAUGUGGCUCUUCACAGUGAAUCAGGUGACACGUCUCCAAGAGAAUUUGCAUCUUUAUUACUACUUGAUUAAAUGUGAGAGCUGGAAGGAAGUUUUGGUUUGACCACUCUACCCCUCCCAUGUAACACAUGGGGAAUCUGAAGCCACAGAGAGGUUACUGAUUUGUCUAGGGUCACAGCAAGUUAGCGGCAGCAUCAACCCAGAAUCCAUGUCUCCUGCCAGUCCGCUGCCCACUUCACUUCAUCCGGCACCUCUUGGCUGCACAGUUUACUGUGUUAUCCUCUCACAUGAGGACUUCCUCCACCUCUGAGUCUCAUCGUCCUCCUCUGUGAAAUGGGGUGAU